CGGGUGAGUAACGCGUGGGUAACCUGCCUUGUACAGGGGGAUAACAGUUGGAAACGGCUGCUAAUACCGCAUAAGCGCACGGCAUCGCAUGAUGCAGUGUGAAAACUCCGGUGGUAUAAGAUGGACCCGCGUUGGAUUAGCUAGUUGGUGAGGUAACGGCCCACCAAGGCGACGAUCCAUAGCCGACCUGAGAGGGUGACCGGCCACAUUGGGACUGAGACACGGCCCAG
rnacentral:rRNA from 1 species